AAGUCCUGCCCUUGGUGAAAGUGCUUUGAUAUUAAUUUCAAUAGGGCCUGCAUUUCAUCCACUUAUGUUAACGGAGUAAUUAAUUUCUAUUAUUCCCAUUUGUAUGUUGCUUCCCACGCGCUCUCAGGAUCAUAUAGAUGAGCCGUGAAACUGAAAAUGGAAACACUGGAGUAUCGUGUUAGAAGGACAUUUUCAACUGGGCGUAAAGAUGUUACCUUAAACCUUUACUCACGUUUAUGGGUGUGGGAUGCCACAUGCCCUGAAAACUUGCUUGCCAACUCUCUUCCCUUCAUCUGCUACCCACUCACACUGCUCCUCAUCCCUUCAGGCCAUUACCUCUCCCCUUGGUCCUUCCAGCUCAAUGGCUGUAAGGAGUAAAAUAACUAAUAUAUCCCAUAAUAUAUGGCAGUGCUCCAAAGACCUCCUUGGCAUUUGAAAAAUUAGAGCCAAACCUGCUCACUGUGAGAAAAGCAUUUCCCAGAGCAGCAAAGGAAGCAUGUCGGAUGGGAUGCUGGGAUCCAGCAAGACAAUACCACAGGAACAAACUGAGUGAACAAGCCCUUCUCAUCCAUUAAGUGUGCUGACCCCGUGGAUCAAGUCCUGCCUUCGCAUGGGGCUGAGAAGGUGGUUUGUGUCUACAGGGAACUUCCUGAAGUUGAGCUGCAAAUACGCGUGAUUGAAUUCAAGUUUGCCUUGAUGCCCUGAUGGCUUCCCCCCAGUGUGGUUCUAUUGCUGUUUGGCCCCAGGUCUUUGCUACUCUCCUGCAGUUGAUUCACAGAUGGGAUUUCUGAAAUGUACAUCCAUCCAGUUCCUCAGCCAUGGGGGAAUUACCAACGCAUGGCUUAGGCACUCACCUGUGUUUCCCUUUUAAAAUGAUCUGAACAGAUGCAAAAAAGUCAGGCUUCAUUCUGGGGUCCCAGCAUCAUCUUUCUUGCUGUUCUUGGUACUCAUCUCACAGGAAUUUCAUUAGGGUGAGGAACAGAAAAAUAACACUUCUUCACAUGCUGUCAAUCAAGUGACUGACUUAUAUCACAACCUCAGAUCGGCUCUUCAUGUGAAACUGGCACACUGCUGCAAAUUUCUAGGGAACUGCCCUUUUUCAAGAGAAAAAAAAAGGAAAAAUGAUAUUUGCCUUCUCUCACUUGGGUAUGCAUGUACACAGCAAGUGCAUUUUGUAAGCUUGUCCUGUGAGUGGCAGGCUGGCGUGGAGUGCUCACACGUGUUCUAGCAAUAAGAGGCACAGCAUAUUUUGCAGGAAAAUUUGCAGAAUGACUCUAAUCCAAGUAAAUCUGAAAACAGUCACAAUCUUUAAAGGGAUUAAGGUCCUAACCCAGCUCUUCUUUCAUAAUAUCUGGAGAAAAAGCUGUUGGAAAAUGGUAUAAAAAAUGGUAUAAAAAAUAAAGUAAAUACCCACACAAGAAUACAGGACAUGGAAAAUACCUAAGAAUAAUUAAAUGAACAGUACUUCAGAUAGUGGAUCUCUUCUUUAUAAUGGUAAUGAAUAGUUUUUCUGUAAAGUUAGCAUAUUUAAUCAGUUCUAUGGAUAUGUGCACACCUCAGAUGAUGUGCUGAUGGUCUGUGCUUUCAGUUAUGUUUUGUGCCUUGGGAUGGAGGUGCUUGUCUGUUUUUUGAUGAGUACAGAAGCUUCAGGAUGUAGCAGAGAGGUCCUGGGAACGUUUCAGAAUAACAACAACAGUAUCAAUAGAGAAGAGGAAGCAAAAGGUGACUGCAGGAGAAAACCAGAUUAAAGGGAAAGUUAUCACAGGCCUCAGUUCUGCUGGGUCAGUGCCGGUCUGCCCUGGAUGUCCUUGAAGUUUUUCUUGAUGAAUUUGAAAUCACAGAUGUUGUUUUGUGUGUGUGCGUGCACAAACAAGGAAUGUGUGCAUUUUUAAACAAUGUGUUGUUUUGUCUGGAUGUGCUGUUCUGUGAGGGGAGUUUUGCUGUGCAUUCAGGGUGGGCAAAGACUCCAGUUAGAUAAGCACGCGGCCUGAGAAGUACUGCUUGAAGAGGAAAACAAAAGAAAACCAGGGGCUAAAACAAAGCCUAUCAAAAAUAAUAAUAACUUGAGGAUGUGUGUAUACAUUCAGAUGCUGUACAUUUACUGCAGGUUAUUAUAGGAGUGAUCUGAGUUAUAUUUUGAAGCUUUUCUUAUGAAUAGAGAAGCGUGGAGGAAUGUAAUAUGUUUAGCUUGUCAGAAUACCAGCUAGAGGGUGAAAAUCAGAGGAACCUUCAGAGGAUUUAGCACCACCUCAUUGAUUCAGUGGGACUUCAGCAGCUUAGCCUGGCUAGAAUAUAACCCAAUAAGUGUAAAAAAAAAAAAAAAAAACAACACAUUAAGCCACAUAAAGAGAUGAAGUUAAGCAGCAUGAAGCUUGUUUUUGCAAUCCUUCCUUAAGUGCUUGGGGUUGCUUUUUUAUGAGUGAAGGAAUUUGUCUUGAAAUUUGUCCAGAGUGACAGGGAACAGCUGAGCAGAGAAAUUAUGGGAAGCCCAAAAUGUAAACAAAAAUAAAAUUUCAAACCUUAUUUUUUCUCACUAAUUACCCCCUCAAGAAUCCAACGUCUGGUUGUUCCCUUCUUUAUGUUCCAGGGCAGCACUUCGUUGGAAGCUAUCUAUAUGAAAGCAUGCACAUUACCUGUUUAUAGGUUUUUUCCUCCCGUAAGGUCCCAUAAUUCUUUCUAAUCUACUUAAAGGAUUUAGCCAAAGUAUUAACAUGAGCCAGAAGGGAUAAUGUUGUUAUUCUAUCAUAGAAUAACAUGAAUAUCCUUUAAUAUAGAUAGUGUCUGUUGUCCAUACCUCAACUUUUCUAUAUUUUACCACUUUCUUUUCUUCCCCUGUUCUUUAUCUUCACUUCAGCAGUAGAUCAGUUAUUUCCAUCUCUGCUUAGUCAGAUGAUCAAUAAUUCAAUAUGUAAUAUUUCCCAAACAAACCCCUAAGGAUGCCUAUGAGGUCAAUGAACACACUGUUGAGGGAUCUUUCAGUCUUUACUUUUUGCCAGCUGGUGCAGUGAGCAUGUGCCAAGUCUUAAGCCAAUGAGUGGUUUCCUCUCUUUGACUUACUGAUGUACCCUGAUGACUUAAGGGUACAUCUUUUCUCAAUAUUGUAUCCAAUUAUAUCAUACAAAUUCAGCCUCCACUGUCUGUACUCUAAGCUAGGCAGAUGUGGGCUAGCUCCAUUUUGGAAACUGUACAUGUAUAUUAAUGAAGGGAUUGGUUGGAGCUCAUAAGCUUUGUUGAUAAGCUAACUUGGGCAUGAGCCUGGACCCAUGUGUUUGAGCAGGCUGACAGCCUACCAGCUACAACACAGGCAAUCCAUGGUUGCCAUCCCCUCGCCUCUCCCAAGGGGAGAUGAUCAGAAGGGGCAAACAAUGAAGCCAGGGUCAGUGUGUACAGAAGAGAGCCAGGGCUCUGACAGAUCUCCUCUGCCAGCACCAUCAGGCCAAGAGCCUGAUGUGUUUGAGUCACAUCCUUUGCAGACCCUGGAGAUGCACUGACAAUAGUCAUUCUAAUACAGCAUUUAGACUGAUGUUCAACUGGGAAGGCUCUAGGUCGGUAGGCACUAAAGGUUUCUGAUCCAUCACUUUUCAGGACAUUUUGAGAGGCAGGAAAUACAUUUCUGCUUCAUUUCAGUGCCUCUGCAAAAGAUUUACCGUAAUCCUUGUUUGCAAUUGACAAUUCUGGCCAAUGAUUCUAAGGUUUGAUUUGGCAACUGAACUUAUAAAAUAAUGAACAUAAUCCCUCCAUCCUCCACUGAACAGCUGGUGCUAACUUAUUAAACGGCAACCUCAUUCUGCACUAACUUUUGUUGGAUUUGUAGCUAUUCCACCCUCUGAAUGGCAUGUUUACUCAGUAUUCUUUCUUUAUUCUAUAUUUCCACUAGCCUUUCUUCUAUUUACUUAUCUGCAUUUCAGUACCUACUCUUCUGUAUGAUGUUAGGAUGCAUCGCUUCAUGUAGUAUUACCUUUCAUCUCAAGCCUACUAUUGACCCAAAUGCUGUCAUCCUUCUUGACUUCUCGCUCUAUGAUGUUUCUGAACCACUUUUAAGAUCAACAAUUUGCAACCCUUUCUAACUGAUCUCCCUCUGCUACCACUCCGUGUUUGAAAACUUCUCAUUUUCUUGUUAUGCCGCACCUCCUCAUUGCUGUCUGCCAGCCCAUCUGCUCACUUUUCUUUGAGACCUGUCUGUUCUGUAUGCAUUUUUAUUCACAGAGUAUGUGUUAGUGUCAUUGGUCCUCUGUGACACAGCGGAUGCUUAGGGGGGAGCCUUGGCAUUCAGCUUUCCCCAGGUAAGAUCAGGUUGUAUGGUUAUCUUACUUAAAACUGGGUAUAGUAGUCAUGUGAAGAGAGAGUCCCGCAGUUAGUGCAUGCAACCACUCCAGUAAUCAGCCCAUACAGCAGAGAUUUAUCCUAACUGGAAGGACUUUGCAUCACACUGGAUUCUCUCUUCCUACCUACUGCAGCUUUAGCCAUAACGCGUACUUCAAUUUACUACUUCUUGACUAAAGGGUUCUUCCAUGCAUUAAGACAAAAUAAAAAGAGGUGUAAAAGCGCUGUUUAAUGGUUUCCCUAUAACAGCAUUAGUGUGGGUGCAAGUGUCUCACUAAAUACAUAAAUGUAGAUAAUCCUUUCUUUCUAGCUCUCUUCUCUCAGGCUACAUUUUUUUUCCUUUAUAACUCAUCCCUGGAGAAAUGUUCACAGUGAAAAAUCAUUGCUAACUUCAUUUUUUUUGCCUUCCCUGUGAAUUUCUUUCCUGGAGCAAUAAUAAGAAAUAAUGGGUGCAGUGCUUUCCUACAGAGUCUAUGGUAUAUAACAAAUAGUCUGGUGUUUUAUUUGUUGUUGCCGUAUUUAAUUUAAGUGUAUUAAUUUUUCUCCUUGACUUAUCUAUUUUCUUUCUAAGUGCGGAGGGCCUUCCAAACCUUUUGGUAAUGUCACUUUAGGAACCAGAUUGGCUUUGUAGUUAUAUGUGGAAACUAAGAUUCUGGUCUCAAGUCUCACCUGCUUCCUUUCUGGAUUAACUUCAACAGUUCCCCUUUUUCUUGAGCAAUCACCAAUGACAAGUUGUAGGCGUCCAGCUUAAUAAACCAACUGUAAACCAAUAUCAAUCAGAGCCUAUGACUUAAACUGACAGAAGAAGAGAGAUGUUUUCUUGGUGUCUCUGAAAAAAAGACCAGCUGAGCCACAGAAAUCAGUCAUGCUGGUCUUAAUCCCUGUAUGUCUCAAUUUACCUUUUCGUAAAAUGGUUCCAAUAUCUAAUUCACAAGGAAGGAGUACUCAGUCUAUUUAAAGCUUAUGAAACAUUGCACAGCUCUGACUGGAUUGCAUUUGCUGAGUGUUAAGUUAAAUGACAAUAUUAUUUUCUGUCAUUGUGCUGUUGCUCUGCUUAGAACAGAUUAGGGAAAAGCGGCUGGGUGGGCAGAUUCUCUUUUUAUAUCUGAGCAAAUUUAGCAAAUCCAAAGACAGAAAGAUUUCCUUAGUUACAUCUUUGUGACCCUGUUUUCUUCAUUAAUUCACAGUUAGAAAGAGAGACAUUUGCAUUAUAAAUGGAAUCACUAAUAACAGUGUUCAUUUUCAGUCUGUAGGUUCAUCGUUUUGACAAGCAAGGAUUCUCAUUAAGCAAGGGUGGGAAAAUGGAGACUGCAAAAGCUUGGUUUGCACCAUCUGGACUGGACUUGCUCUGUGCACACAGUCUCUGUGCACUGGGACGGAGGGAUGAAGCAGAGCAGCCCGUGCUGCCCAGCGCUUACGCGAUCGCUCCAGCUGAGCAAUGCAGGCUCAGAACACAAUUCAUCCUCGUUCAAGUGACACUCAGGUUCAGUUCUACAGAAUCACUACAAACACAGAAUCACUGCGUGAGCACUUCAUCCAGCACAGUGGAGCUUCCAUGCCAUGAACAGAUGCUGUCUGAACACUGAGAUUCUGGAAUGAAAGCUGCUCUAUGACUUCAAAACAUGGUUGAACAAGAAGUGGAACAGCCUAAUGAAGCAUGGAUCCAGCUACUGGAGACUUUAAAAAUGUAAAGAUUUUUUUCUCUGGUAUUCAAAAUCUAGGUGACCUGUCAGGCCCUUGUAGAUUGCUCCUAAACUGACAAUACUCCAGUGCCUCCUCCAAGUGGAUGCUCAACAAGCAGGAAAGCAAUACAAGCAGGGGAACCUGAGGUGUUCAUCUGCAGCACAGUAUUUACUAAUAAUACUGAUAUAUUUCUUUCCCUUCAGCUCCCAUUCCAGUUGGGAAGUUUACCUAGCCAGCUUAGUUUGUCUUUUCAGGUGGUUCUCACAUUACGUACUUUUGAUGGCUGCAGAUUGUAUUGCAAUUACAGUUUACAUUGUAUGAAAUUACUAUUAUACCUUAUAAUCUUUUCAUUUCUGUAUUUAUUCUCACGGCUGCAAACAAAAAUAAAGACUGGCUUUCUU